UGAAAAUGCCCUUUAAACCACUUUUGGUAUCAAGGAGCUGGUAUCAAGCACACUACACAGUAGCUCAUAACACCUUGCACAGCCACACCCCUACGGGAAACAGCAGUAACAAAAAUUAAGCAAUAAACGAAAGUUCGACUAAGUUAUGCUAAUUAGGGCUGGUCAACUUCGUGCCAGCCACCGCGGUCAUACGAACAGCCCAAAUUAAUAGAACCCGGCGUAAAGAGUGGUUAUGACAUUCACACACUAAAGUUAAAUUUAACCUUAGCUGUAAAAAGCUAAAGGUCUAAAAUUAAAUACCCUACGAAAGUGACUUUAACAAAUCAGAAUCCACGAUAGCUAAGAUACAAACUGGGAUUAGAUACCCCACUAUGCCUAGCCCUAAACCUAGUUAAUUAGUAACAAAAUUACUCGCCAGAGAACUACGAGCAAAAGCUUAAAACUCAAAGGACUUGGCGGUGCUUUAUAUCCACCUAGAGGAGCCUGUUGUAUAAUCGAUAAACCCCGCUUAACCCUACCAUCAUUUGCUAAUCCAGUCUAUAUACCGCCAUCUUCAGCAAACCCUUAAAAGGAACCAAAGUAAGCUUAAUUAUACUUAAUAAAAACGUUAGGUCAAGGUGUAACUUAUAUGAUGGAAACUAAUGGGCUACAUUCUCUUUAAAAGAGUACUACGAACACCCUUAUGAAAAGUA
rnacentral:rRNA from 1 species